UACGGGGGGGGCUAGCGUUGUUCGGAAUUACUGGGCGUAAAGCGUGCGUAGGCGGUCCGCGAAGUCUGAUGUGAAAGCCCCGGGCUCAACCUGGGAACUGCAUUGGAAACUAACGGGCUCGAGUGUGGCAGAGGGGGGUGGAAUUCCACGUGUAGCAGUGAAAUGCGUAGAGAUGUGGAGGAACACCGAUGGCGAAGGCAGCCCCCUGGGCUAACACUGACGCUCAGGCACGAAAGCGUGGGGAGCAAACAGG
rnacentral:rRNA from 1 species